rnacentral:rRNA from 1 species
GACGAACGCUGGCGGCGUGCCUAACACAUGCAAGUCGAACGGAGUAAAGAGCUUCGGUUUUUUACUUAGUGGCGAACGGGUGAGUAACGCGUGAGGAACCUGCCUUUCAGUGGGGGACAACAGUUGGAAACGACUGCUAAUACCGCAUAACAUUUACGGACCGCAUGGUCUGUAAAUCAAAGCUUUAUGUGCUGAAAGAUGGCCUCGCGUCUGAUUAGCUAGUUGGUGGGGUAACGGCCCACCAAGGCGACGAUCAGUAGCCGGUCUGAGAGGAUGAACGGCCACAUUGGGACUGAGACACGGUCCAGACUCCUACGGGAGGCAGCAGUGAGGAAUAUUGCACAAUGGGGGAAACCCUGAUGCAGCAACGCCGCGUGAGUGAAGAAGUAUUUCGGUAUGUAAAGCUCUAUCAGCAGGGAAGAAAAUGACGGUACCUGACUAAGAAGCCCCGGNUAACUACGUG